UGGAAAGAUGAAUCGAAGAGGGUGACAAUCCCGUAUACGAAGCGUUUAUAAUAUUAUAUCGAGUAUGGCGAGGCCGGUGAAACCUUGUCUGAAGAUGCCAGCACCAUCUGGUAAGGCUAAAUACUCCCGAGAGACCGAUAGUGAACCAGUACUGUGAAGGAAAGGUGAAAAGAACCCUAAGAAAGGGAGUGAAAAGAACCUGAAACCAUACGCUUACA
rnacentral:rRNA from 16 species